rnacentral:rRNA from 1 species
UACGGGGGGGGCAAGCGUUGUUCGGAAUUACUGGGCGUAAAGGGCUCGUAGGCGGCCAACUAAGUCGGAUGUGAAAUCCCCAGGCUUAACCUGGGAACUGCAUCCGAUACUGGAUGGCUUGAAUUCGGGAGAGGGAUGCAGAAUUCCAGGUGUAGCGGUGAAAUGCGUAGAUAUCUGGAGGAAUACCGGUGGCGAAGGCGGCAUCCUGGACCGGUAUUGACGCUGAGGCGCGAAAGCUAGGGGAGCAAACGGG